rnacentral:lncRNA from 1 species
GCUGUUCCAAUCACAUUUCACAAAGUUAGAUUUUGAACAAUAACAAGCAAAUUAAUUUAUUUUGUGUUUAUUCAAUCAUAUAUUAAUAACCUAGAUGCCUACUUAUGAUUCUGCUUGGCUAAAAGUUCUAGCAUAAUAUUUUAAAUACACACUUAACUAAAACAUUUUGCCCCAAAAAUUAAUAUCAAAUGUUGUGAAGCCAUAGUCUCUUUUUAAACGGGCAAUUAUUUGGAGACCUUUAGAGAGUGGGGGUCCUCCUUCUUUCAGGAGGAAGAACAACACCUCAGAAAGACACUGAAAGGUACAGGGUGAAUUUUCGCUCUUUAUUCUUUCAGAAAAAUCAAGGUUGCUGAUUCGUCAAUUGAACUAUGAUGUCAACUACAACAUUUGAAGAAAAUUCUGAUUUUCAAGACAGUGAAGAAAACCUACGAGAUCUGGCACAACAUGCAAGCAUCCUUUCAGAAAAUAAGCCCAACCCUGAGGACUUACUCAGCAUUAGCUCUGAACAUCCUUCUCCAGUGAAGGAUGUUCAGCCUACUAGCGACACCAAAGACACUAAAGUGAUGGAACUUAUUACCGGUCAGUCUUUGAUCAAGUCUGGGAUCUUGGCCCAUCUACAGCUUGCAUCACCUCUCGAGUCUGUAACAGAAUUGGUGGAGGUAGAAGAGGCAUGUGACUUACAAAUUUCAGAAGAACCAAUUGCAACCAAAGAGAUCUUUCCAACCACAACCGUAUGUUACAUGUCAUUAACCACAGAGGGACUGGGACAUGCCUUGGAAGGGGCAGCCAUCUUUGGAAAAGUCAUGGAGUCAAACACUCAACCUGAUUUAGGACAUCCAGAGAGCCCAAUGACAGAAGCUUGUAGCUCCGUCCAUGAAAUUCCAGUUGGGUCGUGGCUUCAAGAAGAUUCCUCGAAAAUUUCAGUCAUCGAAUGUCAACAGGUGGACCAGUGCCCUCCUGCUGUGGGUGGUUUUCAGAAGGAAGCAGCAUGGCACCAGUUGACAACUUCUUGUGCUAAUUCUGGAGUUUUAGAGCUGACCAAACAUUCCUCUGUCCCACCUCUUGAAGACCUUAUUACCCCCCAAGAAGUACAAAUGUGUCACCAAACUUGUGUAAAAGGUGAAGAUACGGUUGGUGAUGAAUUAAGGUUUGACAGAAAGCCAAACUCAGAGAGGUUUCGAGGUCACAUCCGUGAAAAGGAAGCCACUGCAACCAAUGUGGCUAACCAGUCGCUAAUUGAAGUUCUCACAGCGUGUGAAGCUAAAGUGGAGCAGUAUGAACAGCUCAGAUCAUCUUCCUUUGACCUGUCUGCUCAGCUGCGUUCUGCCCAGCUUAUGGCUGAUAGUCUGCAUCAGAGAAUGCUCAGCCUUGAGCACGAACACAGUCUGAAAGACAAGAAACUACAGGAGCUAACAACUAUUCUGGAGAAGACCAGUGAAACACUGCAAGCAAGGAACUGGGAAAUGGCUACAAUCACUAAUGAGCUCCAGCAGCUUCACUUACAGGUGGAGGCACAGAAGAAUGUGCCCGAUGCUGCCAGAACAAUAACAGCUAACGGACUAGCCACUCCUGACCCACAACUACAGCUGAGCAGGAGCUCUAAAAUAUGUACACUGUUAUGAUAAUAACAGUUGAUAAUGAUGAUGGUUUUUCACUGAAAUAAAACAUUCAGCCCUGAAUGAAGGGCCUGGUUCUGAUAUUCUGCACUGGUAAAAUCUACCGACUACAGUGGAUUAGAUCACCACAGUCAGGUAUUUAAUUAUAAGUACUGAACAUUGAACAUGUGAUAUUGUGUGUAUAUUUAUAUUGUAUGUAUCUACACAUUACCACUCUGCAUUUGAAAUAAAGCAGUACAUAU